rnacentral:ncRNA from 1 species
AAAGACUUAGUCCUAACCUUACCGUUUAUUCUCGCCCAAUAUAUACAUGCAAGUAUCCGCACCCCAGUGCAAACGCCCUCAACCCCUUACUAAGACAAAAGGAGCAGGCAUCAGGCACACCCAUCGUAGCCCAAGACACCACGCCCCGCCACACCCCCACGGGUACUCAGCAGUAAUUAACAUUAAGCAAUAGGCGCAAGCCUGACUUAGUCAAAGCGAUCCAGGGCCGGUAAAUCUUGUGCCAGCCACCGCGGUCACACAAGAGACCCAAAUUAACCACACACGGCGUAAAGAGUGGCCCAGGACUAUCACAACCAACUAAGAUUAAACCACAGCCCAAGCCGUCAUAAACCCAAGAUGCCCCGAAACCCAACCUAAAAACGAUCUUAGCACUCACGACCCGCCCCACCCCACUAAAGCUAGAAUACAAACUGGGAUUAGAUACCCCACUAUGCCUAGCCCUAAAUCCUGAUGUUUUCCACACACAAACAUCCGCCCGAGAACUACGAGCACAAACGCUUAAAACUCUAAGGACUUGGCGGUGCCCUACACCCACCUAGAGGAGCCUGUUCUAUAAUCGAUAACCCACGAUACACCCGACCACUUCUUGCCAAAACAGCCUACAUACCGCCGUCGUCAGCCCACCUCCGUGAGAGUACAACAGUGAGCCCAACAGCCCAUCAACCCACUAACAAGACAGGUCAAGGUAUAGCCUACGAAGUGGAAGAAAUGGGCUACAUUUUCUAACAGUAGAAUAUCAAACGAAAAGGGGCCUGAAACCUGCCCCCAGAAGGCGGAUUUAGCAGUAAAGAGAGACAAUCAAGCUCUCUUUAAACCGGUCCUAGGACACGUACAUACCGCCCGUCACCCUCCUCAUAAGGCUACCCCACACACUAAGUAAUCCAACAAAUAGCCAAAGAUGAGGCAAGUCGUAACAAGGUAAGUGUA